AUAGCUCAAGAAAUCAAAUAGUUAUUUUAGGACACUUUGUUCAUCUCUUUGUCCAUUGGUAUAAAAAAACUCAGCUGCUAUAGCAGCUUAUAAUCAUCCUAAGUGACUCCCAAAUGCCUGCAUAAUACAAGACUCAGUCCUUGUUUUGGUAUUUGGAAGGCAGUAGCAACUGCCAGAGAUAUGAUCUAUUAGGUUUUAAGUCCUUGAUGGUGUGCCUUCAGAAGCGAUCACUCAUACUUGGCCAUGAGAUGAAUGGAUAUUGUCUGCCAGAUGCCUCUUCUGUGAUGGGCUGAAGUACCACAGACCCAACGCAACAAGACUGAGUGCUCACAGACUGAAAGCUCCAAAACAGUAAACCUCUUUUUCUGUAGAUUUAUUCCAGGUAUUUGUUAUGGAAACCUUCAAGAGGCAGUCCUAGUAGAAGGUACUUCAGUUGUGGUGGUUCCAUCAUCAUGGAGGGGUAACAUGAGAAGUUCAGUGGUUGGAUUACCAGGAUCCUAUGUCAGUAGGACCAUUCUUUGACUCUGAACUGGAAAGGAAGUCAAAGAAGAAAUUAGGGAGGAUGAUAAGCCACAGAAACAAUAUAAGAUCAAAACAUAAAUAACCACUGAUAUAGAAACCAACAAGAGCUGAGGAGGACUGGCGUCACUGCAACCACUUAAAAGUCCCUCAGCUCCUCUGAGUCUCCUCUGGUAGCUGUCAUGGACUCCUUUUAUCACCCUAUUCAGCAGGAAAUAGCCAGAACAGAGCUCCAUGUAUCCCCAUGACAGCAGUUAGGGAACACUCAGAAAAGGGAAAUGAAAGACAGUGAACUGUUUGGGGCAACCUGCCCCCUACCUCUGCCACCACCCAGAAGAGGGUUUUGAGUCUUGCCAUGCCUUGGACCAAGCCGGCCGUCCUGUGGCCACCACAUUGGAGAAGGUCUGGUCUGAUUCAAACAUACCAUAAUAUGACAGGCUGCCUGAAGAGAAGAGAGAAAACAAAGGAUGGGGGAGCAAUAGCCCAGGCUACGAGAUGGGAAAACCAUGGGUUUU